CUCGAAUUAUUGGCAGAAUCCUUCCUUGCCAAAAGUAUGUGCAUGGAUAACAUUGAUGUGGUCCAGAAUAUCAAUUGGCUGGGUGGCAGCAAAUCCAAAGAUAUGGCAGAAUGAUCAAAAACAUGUUGGCACCUUUGACUCAAUGUGGGAAAUGCGCUGAUAGUGGAAUACUCACUGGGCCUAUCCAAUGUAGGGGCAAAUUGGAAUUCCAG